rnacentral:rRNA from 1 species
UACGUAGGGUGCAAGCGUUAAUCGGAAUUACUGGGCGUAAAGCGCACGUAGGCGGCUUUGUAAGUUAGAGGUGAAAGCCUGGAGCUCAACUCCAGAACUGCCUUUAAGACUGCAUCGCUUGAAUCCAGGAGAGGUGAGUGGAAUUCCGAGUGUAGAGGUGAAAUUCGUAGAUAUUGGGAAGAACACCGGUGGCGAAGGCGGCUCACUGGCUCGUAACUGACGCUCCAUGCACGACAGCGUGGGGAUCAAACAGG